GCCUCGGUGGUGUAGUGAGUAGAGCACGCGUCUCCAGAUAGGAUGAAACGCGGGUUCGAUUCCCGCCUGAGGCC